GGGGAAAUGAUGAAAUGGUAGCCAUAGUAACUUCAAAAGUUGCGGAUUUAUAAUCGUGGGGGUUCGAAUCCCCCUUUCCCCA
rnacentral:tRNA from 2 species